GGCGUUCUUACACAUGCAAGUCGAGCGGGAACCCAGGGAGGGGUAACCCUCCUUGGGGGAGAGCGGCGAACGGGUGAGUAUCACGUGGGCAACCUGCCCCAGACAUUGGGAUAACUCCGGGAAACCGGGGCUAAUACCGGAUACCUCGAUCGGGCCGCAUGGUCUGGUCGAGAAAGCUCCGACGGUCUGGGAUGGGCCCGCGGCCUAUCAGCUUGUUGGCGGGGUAACGGCCCACCAAGGCGACGACGGGUAGCUGGUCUGGGAGGACGGCCAGCCACACUGGGACUGAGACACGGCCCAGACUCCUACGGGAGGCAGCAGUGGG
rnacentral:sRNA from 1 species